UACGUAGGCAGCAAGCGUUGUUCGGAGUUACUGGGCGUAAAGAGCUCGUAGGCGGUUUGUCGCGUCUGCUGUGAAAUCCCGAGGCUCAACCUCGGGCCUGCAGUGGGUACGGGCAGACUGGAGUGCGGUAGGGGAGAAUGGAAUUCCUGGUGUAGCGGUGGAAUGCGCAGAUAUCAGGAGGAACACCGAUGGCGAAGGCAGUUCUCUGGGCCGUAACUGACGCUGAGGAGCGAAAGCGUGGGGAGCGAACAGG
rnacentral:rRNA from 1 species